UACGUAGGCAGCAAGCGUUGUUCGGAGUUACUGGGCGUAAAGGGUGCGUAGGCGGCUUUUUAAGUCUGGUGUGAAAUCUCCCGGCUCAACUGGGAGGGUGCGCCGGAUACUGAGGGGCUAGAGUGUGGGAGAGGAAAGUGGAAUUCCUGGUGUAGCGGUGAAAUGCGUAGAUAUCAGGAGGAACACCGGUGGUGUAAACGGCUUUCUGGACCAUUGCUGACGCUGAGACACGAAAGCGUGGGUAGCAAACAGG
rnacentral:rRNA from 1 species